rnacentral:rRNA from 1 species
UGGGGAAUAUUGGACAAUGGGCGCAAGCCUGAUCCAGCAAUGCCGCGUGGGUGAAGACGGCCUGCGGGUUGUAAAGCCCUUUAGGCGGGGAGGAACGGCGUCGUGCGAACAGUGCGGCGUUCUGACGUUACCCGCGGAAUAAGCACCGGCUAACUCCGUGCCAGCAGCCGCGGUAAUACGGAGGGUGCGAGCGUUAAUCGGAAUUACUGGGCGUAAAGCGUGCGUAGGCGGUUUGGUCAGUCAGCCGUGA